GAUGAACGCUGGCGGCGUGCCUAAUACAUGCUAGUCGAGCGAACAGACGAGGAGCUUGCUCCUCUGACGUUAGCGGCGGACGGGUGAGUAACACGUGGAUAACCUACCUAUAAGACUGGGAUAACUUCGGGAAACCGGAGCUAAUACCGGAUAAUAUAUUGAACCGCAUGGUUCAAUAGUGAAAGACGGUUUUGCUGUCACUUAUAGAUGGAUCCGCGCCGCAUUAGCUAGUUGGUAAGGUAACGGCUUACCAAGGCAACGAUGCGUAGCCGACCUGAGAGGGUGAUCGGCCACACUGGAACUGAGACACGGUCCAGACUCCUACGGGAGGCAGCAGUAGGGAAUCUUCCGCAAUGGGCGAAAGCCUGACGGAGCAACGCCGCGUGAGUGAUGAAGGUCUUCGGAUCAUAAAACUCUGUUAUUAGGGAAGAACAAAUGUGUAAGUAACUAUGCACGUCUUGACGGUACCUAAUCAGAAAGCCACGGCUAACUACGUG
rnacentral:rRNA from 1 species